rnacentral:lncRNA from 1 species
AUAUAUGAAGGUGAUCAGGAGGCGGAGGAUGUUCUUGCAAAUAGAGAUGUGUAGGAGGCGUGACUAGAGUUGCUUCAAGCUCAGGGACGGGCACUGCCUCAAGUUCAGGAAAUGGCGCGGCUUUCAGCUCAGGAAGCGGUAGAGGUUUGAGUUCACGAAGCAGCUUUGACUUCAGGAAGCAGUUCAGAAAGUUCAAGACUCCAGCAUGCUUUAGAAGAUUGUGAAAUGGCGUGGCUUUCAGCUCAGGAAGCGGUAGAGGUGCGAGUUUGCGAAGCGGCUUUGACUUCAGGAAGCGGUUCAGAAAGUUCAAGACUCCAGCAUGCUUUGGAAGACUCUGAACGGAAUCGUCCGCACACAGAGGAGUAGUCAGAGGAGUGAUUUCAGGACAAACUGCAUCAGAUUGAGAAGCUUGAACUUAACUUGGGGUUUCUUGUUAUAGUUCUUUAGCUGAAUGAAUACUGACAAUAUAUGAGCUUCCGCCAUACUGUCACUAUGCAUUUUAUGACUAGCUGUUCUCUUUCUUGGUAAACAUUGAUCAAGUGGACGGGCACAGGUGAUUAUUCAACUAUUUUGCGUCACAAAUAGUGAUCGAAGUCAUUUUGUUAAUUAUAGUGUUCCCCUGAUUCUUCCAGAGAUUUGAGCUAGUUGAUGAACACGGUUGCC